GUAAUAGCUCACUAGUCGAGAGGUCCUGCGCCGAAAAUGUCCGGGGCUAAAACACAACACCGAAGCUGUGGAAUCACGUAGUGAUUGGUAGAGGAGCAUUCUUAAGACCGACGAAGCUGUACCGGAAGGAGCAGUGGAGGGAUAAGAAGAGAGAAUGCCGGAAUGAGUAGCGAGAGAAAGGUGAGAAUCCUUUCGGCCGAAUAUCCAAGGUUUCCAGGGUAAAGCUGAUCUGCCCUGGGUAAGUCGGGGCCUAAGGCGAGGACGAGAGUCGUAGCCGAUGGACAACAGGUGGAGAUUCCUGUACUGCGGUAUGACAGAACUGUGGGGACACGUAAGGAAAGCGGAAGCCGGGAAUGGAAAGCCCGGUGCAAGCGGGGUACCAGUCACUUUGGCAAAUCCGGGUGGCAAUGGGAAGCCGUGAUGCGGAGCGAAAUAAAGUAGCGAAGUCCGUGAGCCAUGCGUCAAGAAAAGCCGCUAUUGUUUAUACCGUACCCGUACCGUAAACCGACACAGGUGGAUGAGGAGAGAAUCCUAAGGCCGGCGGAAGAAGCAUUGUUAAGGAACUCGGCAAAAUGACCCCGUAACUUCGGGAGAAGGGGUGCCUGCGAGAGCAGGCCGCAGAGAAGAGGCCCAAGCAACUGUUUAGCAAAAACACAGGUCUAUGCAAAACCGAAAGGUGAGGUAUAUGGGCUGACGCCUGCCCGGUGCUGGAAGGUUAAGGGGAGAUGUCAGGAAACGAAGCAUCGAACUUAAGCCCCAGUAAACGGCGGCCGUAACUAUAACGGUCCUAAGGUAGCGAAAUUCCUUGUCGGGUAAGUUCCGACCCGCACGAAAGGCGUAAUGAUUUGGGCGCUGUCUCGACAAUACAUCCGGUGAAAUUGAAGUGCCAGUGAAGAUGCUGGCUACCUGCGCCAGGACGGAAAGACCCCAUGGAGCUUUACUCCAGCUUGAUACUGGGAUUCGGUAUUGCAUGUACAGGAUAGGUGGGAGGCUAGGAAGUGAUGACGCCAGUUGUCACGGAGCCGCUGUUGGGAUACCACCCUUGCAGUAUUGGAUUUCUAACCAGCGACCAUGAACUGGUCGGGGGACAAUGUCAGGUGGGGAGUUUGACUGGGGCGGUCGCCUCCGAAAGGGUAUCGGAGGCGCCCAAAGGUUCCCUCAGAAUGGUUGGAAACCAUUCGAAGAGUGCAAAGGCAGAAGGGAGCUUGACUGCGACACCGACGG
rnacentral:rRNA from 1 species